rnacentral:rRNA from 1 species
GACGAACGCUGGCGGCGUGCUUAACGCAUGCAAGUCGAACGGAAAGGCCCUGCUUUUGUGGGGUGCUCGAGUGGCGAACGGGUGAGUAACACGUGAGUAACCUGCCCUUGACUUUGGGAUAACUUCAGGAAACUGGGGCUAAUACCGGAUAGGAGCUCCUGCUGCAUGGUGGGGGUUGGAAAGUUUCGGCGGUUGGGGAUGGACUCGCGACUUAUCAGCUUGUUGGUGGGGUAGUGGCUUACCAAGGCUUUGACGGGUAGCCGGCCUGAGAGGGUGACCGGCCACAUUGGGACUGAGAUACGGCCCAGACUCCUACGGGAGGCAGCAGUGGGGAAUAUUGCACAAUGGGCGGAAGCCUGAUGCAGCAACGCCGCGUGCGGGAUGACGGCCUUCGGGUUGUAAACCGCUUUCGCCUGUGACGAAGCGUGAGUGACGGUAAUGGGUAAAGAAGCACCGGCUAACUACGUG